CAGGGUUCAGUUGUACCUUAAACUUCAAAGCUGGGGAUAUAGAAUAAUAGCGAUAGACUAUAGAGGGUUUGGAGACUCGUCAGACAUAGGCCAAAUAACUGAAGAAAGUACUGUACAAGAUGGA